AGACAUAAGUCACACAAUUAUUACCGGCUACAAGGAAGAAAGGCUACAAAUUUACAAAAGAAAUCAAAAUUCUAUUACAAGUCAGAACUAUUCCCAUCCAUGGUCAUUCAGAUUAUUCAAAUCACUCAAGUUCAAUCAUUCAAGCGUCUACACGCCAUUUCAAGAUUACAAAAAGUUACAAAGGUCCAAAGAAACUUUUACAAAAAAAAGCAUUUAAUCAGUUACAAGAAAAUGCAUCCUAAGCUUAAUCUUCCGUCUUCAUCUUUUACCAUGGGCUCCAUGACAUGUUUGAACCAUGCCUAA